CCUCAUUCCGUGUGAUUUCCUUGGUGUUUUUAUCCCCCCCCAGCCCCGGCGCGGCAGACGGCGGGGGCCUCCCAGGGGGAACGACAGCCAAUUACCAGCCCGGUGCCUGCAGCCCAUGGAUGAGGGCUCCUGCCAGCGCCAUUCCCUGCUCUGGUACUUCCACGUCCCCACCAGCUCCUGCCGGCCCUUCCUGUUCGGGGGCUGCCGAGGGAACAGCAACCGCUUCCCAUCCCGGCGGGAAUGCCAGCACCGCUGCCAGAGCCCCCCAGCAGGCAGAGGGAGAUGAGCAGCUCCAAGUGCUUCAUUUAAAUGCAACGGGAUUGGCAGGA
rnacentral:lncRNA from 1 species